UGAGGAAUAUUGGUCAAUGGACGAGAGUCUGAACCAGCCAAGUAGCGUGAAGGAUGACUGCCCUAUGGGUUGUAAACUUCUUUUAUACGGGAAUAAAGUGAGGCACGUGUGCCUUUUUGUAUGUACCGUAUGAAUAAGGAUCGGCUAACUCCGUGCCAGCAGCCGCGGUAAUACGGAGGAUCCGAGCGUUAUCCGGAUUUAUUGGGUUUAAAGGGAGCGUAGGCGGACGCUUAAGUCAGUUGUGAAAGUUUGCGGCUCAACCGUAAAAUUGCAGUUGAUACUGGGUGUCUUGAGUACAGUAGAGGCAGGCGGAAUUCGUGGUGUAGCGGUGAAAUGCUUAGAUAUCACGAAGAACUCCGAUUGCGAAGGCAGCUUGCUGGACUGUAACUGACGCUGAUGCUCGAAAGUGUGGGUAUCAAACAGGAUUAGAUACCCUGGUAGUCCACACAGUAAACGAUGAAUACUCGCUGUUUGCGAUAUACAGUAAGCGGCCAAGCGAAAGCGUUAAGUAUUCCACCUGGGGAGUACGCCGGCAACGGUGAAACUCAAAGGAAUUGACGGGGGCCCGCACAAGCGGAGGAACAUGUGGUUUAAUUCGAUGAUACGCGAGGAACCUUACCCGGGCUUGAAUUGCAACUGAAUGAUGUGGAGACAUGUCAGCCGCAAGGCAGUUGUGAAGGUGCUGCAUGGUUGUCGUCAGCUCGUGCCGUGAGGUGUCGGCUUAAGUGCCAUAACGAGCGCAACCCUUAUCGAUAGUUACCAUCAGGUUAUGCUGGGGACUCUGUCGAGACUGCCGUCGUAAGAUGUGAGGAAGGUGGGGAUGACGUCAAAUCAGCACGGCCCUUACGUCCGGGGCUACACACGUGUUACAAUGGGAGGUACAGAAGGCAGCUACACGGCGACGUGAUGCUAAUCCCGAAAGCCUCUCUCAGUUCGGAUUGGAGUCUGCAACCCGACCCCAUGAAGCUGGAUUCGCUAGUAAUCGCGCAUCAGCCACGGCGCGGUGAAUACGUUCCC
rnacentral:rRNA from 1 species